rnacentral:rRNA from 1 species
AAGUGGCGGACGGGCGAGUAACGCGUGAAUAACCUGCCCAUAAGAGUGGAAUAAUCCGUGGAAACGCGGACUAAUACCGCAUACAGAGUAUAAAUCGCAUGAUUAAUACUUGAAAGAUUUUAUCGCUUAUGGAUGGAUUCGCGUCAGAUUAGAUAGUUGGAGAGGUAACGGCUCACCAAGUCGACGAUCUGUAGCCGAACUGAGAGGUUGAUCGGCCGCAUUGGGACUGAGACACGGCCCAGACUCCUACGGGAGGCAGCAGUGGGGAAUAUUGCGCAAUGGGGGGAACCCUGACGCAGCAACGCCGCGUGCAGGAAGAAGGUCUUCGGAUAGUAAACUGUUGUCGCAAGGGAAGAAGAAGAUGACGGUACCUUGUGAGAAAGUUCACGGCUAACUACGUGCCAGCAGCCGCGGUAAUACGUUGGUGACA